CCUACGGGAGGCAGCAGUAGGGAAUCUUGCUCAAUGGGCGAAAGCCUGAAGCAGCAACGCCGCGUGGAGGAUGAAGGUCUUCGGAUUGUAAAACCCUGUUGUUAGAGAAGUAAAUGCGGGCAAGUAACCGUUCACGUUUGGACGGUAUCUAUCCAGAAAGCCACGCCUAACUACGUGCCAGCAGCUGCGGUAAUAUGUAGGUGGCUAGCGUUAUCCGGAUUUAUUGGGCGUAAAGGUAACGUAGACGGUCUGUUAAGUCUGAUGUGAAAGCCUUCGGCUUAACCGUAGAAGUGCAUUUGAAACUGGGAGUCUUGAGUACAGAAGAGGUAGGUGGAAGUCGAGGUGUAGCGGUGAAAUGCGUAGAUAUCAAGAAGAACACUGAUGGCGAAGGCGGCUUUCUAGACUGUAACUGACGCUGAUGCUCGAAAGCGUGGGUAGCAAACAGGAUUAGAUACCCGAGUAGUC
rnacentral:rRNA from 1 species